GCUGUGGAACGGAAGCGCUCCGAUGGACGGAUCGGCCGCCCACGGAACUGAAGCUUUGGAAUCCUCGCGCGAUUCUCAAGGAUGGAUUUUAUGAGGUAUCUUGAUGGAAAAAGCUCCGGAAAAGUUGGUGGAACCAUCUUGCAUCCAUUAUACAAAUUUAUCAUAACAAGGAGGUGCCGGAUGCACAAAGAUUCCAAGAGACAUAAGUAUCACACAAAUGGUGUUAUCUUAAUAUAUGUUACUAAUAUAUUGCUAAAGCUCAAACAAUUGCUAAUA